rnacentral:rRNA from 1 species
ACGCUGGCGGCGUGCCUAAUACAUGCAAGUAGAACGCUGAAGGAGGAGCUUGCUCUUCUGGAUGAGUUGCGAACGGGUGAGUAACGCGUAGGUAACCUGCCUGGUAGCGGGGGAUAACUAUUGGAAACGAUAGCUAAUACCGCAUAACAGUAGAUGUUGCAUGACAUUUGCUUAAAAGGUGCAAUUGCAUCACUACCAGAUGGACCUGCGUUGUAUUAGCUAGUUGGUGGGGUAACGGCUCACCAAGGCGACGAUACAUAGCCGACCUGAGAGGGUGAUCGGCCACACUGGGACUGAGACACGGCCCAGACUCCUACGGGAGGCAGCAGUAGGGAAUCUUCGGCAAUGGACGGAAGUCUGACCGAGCAACGCCGCGUGAGUGAAGAAGGUUUUCGGAUCGUAAAGCUCUGUUGUAAGAGAAGAACGAGUGUGAGAGUGGAAAGUUCACGCUGUGACGGUAUCUUACCAGAAAGGGACGGCUAACUACGUGCCAGCAGCCGCGGUAAUACGUAGGUCCCGAGCGUUGUCCGGAUUUAUUGGGCGUAAAGCGAGCGCAGGCGGUUAGAUAAGUCUGAAGUUAAAGGCUGUGGCUUAACCAUAGUACGCUUUGGAAACUGUUUAACUUGAGUGCAAGAGGGGAGAGUGGAAUUCCAUGUGUAGCGGUGAAAUGCGUAGAUAUAUGGAGGAACACCGGUGGCGAAAGCGGCUCUCUGGCUUGUAACUGACGCUGAGGCUCGAAAGCCUGGGGAGCAAACAGGAUUAGAUACCCUGGUAGUCCACGCCGUAAACGAUGAGUGCUAGGUGUUAGACCCUUUCCGGGGUUUAGUGCCGCAGCUAACGCAUUAAGCACUCCGCCUGGGGAGUACGACCGCAAGGUUGAAACUCAAAGGAAUUGACGGGGGCCCGCACAAGCGGUGGAGCAUGUGGUUU